GAUGAAGAACGUAGCGAAAUGCGAUAAGUAAUGUGAAUUGCAGAAUUCAGUGAAUCAUCGAAUCUUUGAACGCACCUUGCGCCCUUUGGCCAUUCCGAAGGGCAUGCCUGUUUGAGUAUCAUGAACACCUCAACUCUUUAUGGUUUUCCAUGAUGAGCUUGGACUCUGGGGGUUUUGCUGGCUCACAGUCGGCUCCUCUAAAAUGAAUCAGCUUACCAGUGUUUGGUGGGUAUCAUGGGUGUGAUAACUAUCUACGCUUGUGGUUUUUCCACCAGGUAACCUUCAGCAGUGGAGGUUCGCUGGAGCUCAUAGAUGUCUCUCCUCAGUGAGGACAGCCCUUUGAAUGUUUGAUCUCAAAUCAGGUGGGACUACCCGCUGAACUUAAGCAUAUCAAUAAGCGGAGGA
rnacentral:misc_RNA from 1 species